GUCGAGCGGAUGAAGAGAGCUUGCUCUCUGAUUCAACGGCGGACGGGUGAGUAAUGCCUAGGAAUCUGCCUGGUAGUGGGGGACAACGUCUCGAAAGGGACGCUAAUACCGCAUACGUCCUACGGGAGAAAGCAGGGGACCUUCGGGCCUUGCGCUAUCAGAUGAGCCUAGGUCGGAUUAGCUAGUUGGUGAGGUAAUGGCUCACCAAGGCGACGAUCCGUAACUGGUCUGAGAGGAUGAUCAGUCACACUGGAACUGAGACACGGUCCAGACUCCUACGGGAGGCAGCAGUGGGGAAUAUUGGACAAUGGGCGAAAGCCUGAUCCAGCCAUGCCGCGUGUGUGAAGAAGGUCUUCGGAUUGUAAAGCACUUUAAGUUGGGAGGAAGGGCAGUAAGCGAAUACCUUGCUGUUUUGACGUUACCGACAGAAUAAGCACCGGCUAACUCUGUGCCAGCAGCCGCGGUAAUACAGAGGGUGCAAGCGUUAAUCGGAAUUACUGGGCGUAAAGCGCGCGUAGGUGGUUUGUUAAGUUGAAUGUGAAAUCCCCGGGCUCAACCUGGGAACUGCAUCCAAAACUGGCAAGCUAGAGUAGGGCAGAGGGUGGUGGAAUUUCCUGUGUAGCGGUGAAAUGCGUAGAUAUAGGAAGGAACACCAGUGGCGAAGGCGACCACCUGG
rnacentral:rRNA from 1 species